rnacentral:lncRNA from 1 species
AGGCUGAUAAAUCAAAAAUGUAGUCGCAGGAAUUGUACCCCGUCGCGAUCAAUACAACUUGGUUUAGCUGAUUUAGUAAAAGUAUUGAGUUAAAAAAUGGCAAUACCUGUGGAGUAGAAAUAAAUAUUAAUUUUUUAAAGUUAUGGAAACGAAAAUAAUAAGCAGGAAAUAGAGGGUACGAACCUAAAGGAGGAAUUACAUUGGAGAGGAACUUGGAGAAGGAGAGUGGUAUUUAUGGAGUUCUAGAAAAAUGGGUUGGUGUCGAUUAGCUCCAUCAAUAGACUAACAUCAUCUGAAACAUGUAAAAGACGUUAGUUGAUACUUUUGUAAUGUAGAUACAUAUAUACAUAAUUAUACACGAGUGUACAGAAAGAAGAAGGGACCGCAGCUGGAGUUUUCUUCUUUGUUGUCUGUAACUUUAAUAGGAUUCUGGGACUCUACACUGGUUUAAACACAGAAAUUAAUUAAUACCCAGUCCAAUAUCUUAAAAAACAAGUCUUAAGUGCUAAUUCCACCUUAAACACCAGUAAGCUGUAGGGAAUACUUCUUGAAAUAAUAUUUUGUUUUUAUAGCAUACUUUCAACUAGAAUUACAUCUUAAUACAACCAAAAUAACUUUAGCUAACUUGAAAUAAUAUUUAGAAAAUAAAAAAAUUUGAAGUCAUAACAAUAAACAUAUAUUUCUAAUCUUUGAAGUAUUCUUGGCCAAAAAGUAGGAAAAGUUUUGAGUCCACUUACAAAAUUAUUUUAUUGGGAUAUCGUGUUGUUAAAAAUGAGUUUGCAAAAAAGUGAUUUUCAAUAUCAAAAUCAAACAAUGGUUAAAUUUGUGAAAUAAUCCUGUUAUACAAUGUCUAUCAGUCAACUUUUUUUUAUUUUAUCAAUUCUGUGUUUUACUUUGUCUUGUUUAUAUUGAGAAGAAAUCCAUGGACUUCUCAACUUUAUCAGAAUUCUAAGUUGGUCUCCUUUAAUUAUAUUCUAUUCAUUUUAUUUGAAUUCUUUUGGAUUAAAAUGGUAGAAGAAAUGUUUUUUCUUAGGAAUCUCAUCUAUGAGCAUGCUGGCGUGUUCUAUUUAGGGAGAGAAUGUAUCUGAUUGAAAUCUUUGUCAUGAGGCAAAUGUGUGAAGCAACUUGUUACAUAAUUAGUCUAAAAUGCAUUUAAAAAAAUUAAUGCAAUUUAUGAGUAAAUAGGUGAAAAUGACAGGUUUAUAUCCUUUUGAUACUUCUCCUUCGUGAAUUUCCUAUAGAAGGCUGGCUUUUUAUCCCUCUGCGAGUGUUUACCAAAGCAAAUGGGAGAUCCACCUGAAACCAUUCCUUUUCCCCUUAAGUUCCAGCGACUAGAUUCGUUAUGGUUAAUAUAAGGCUAGUUUUUAUUUUAUUUUUCCCCUCCCAUAAAAAUUGUUUAAAUCUUGUUAUUUAAGAUUUCAUUCCUUAGAGUUGUUAAACUUUUGAAAUUAAAUCACCAAACGCAUGCAAGUCUUUUUCCAACUUCCUUUCCAUCUUAAAGUAACUCUGCCCAGAACACUACUCUUCCUUGGUGUUCUCUGGGUCUGUAUUUUUUGUUAUUUGAUGCAGCUAUUAUACCUUAUCCCUUUGUUGUGAGUUUUUCCUUUUUGUUUUUCCAGGUGAGCUUGAAUCAAACAAGCGUCGUUUUAUUCUACAGAGUCUUCGCAUCCUCCUCUUCCGGGUAAAUUUUUUCUUUUUGUCUCCUAACACAAUUUUUUCUCAACUUUCUUCUAGAAUUGAUUAAUUUCUUUGCUAAUAAUUUGUGCUUCAAAUUGAAAGAAACAACCCAAAUUCAAAAACUGACUGGUUAUGUUGGGUUGUUUGUGUCAGAUUCAUGGAAACCAUUUGCGUCCAUCUCAUCCCAAUUCAAUUUUCCUGAUAAAUUCUGGUAGCAUGAUUCAUAAUUUGUCCCCUUUUUAUACUCCUUUAAAAUUAUUUAUCUUGUAUUAUAUAUUGAAGAAUUUGUUAAUAGGUUUCUGGAAUUCUUUGUUAAUUGGUCAAAAAAUCAACCGUGCAGGUGAUGUGAGGCGGAACUAAUUAUACUGCUUUAUGUUAAGUUAUAUUUUAUGAGUUUCUCAAAUGUGAGAAUCAUGUUAAUUUUCUAUUUGUUUAUGUUUCUUUACAUUUGGUAUUGUUAGAUGAGGCUUAUUGAGCGGUUGCCAGAAGCUGUUCACAGUUAAGUGCAUUCGAGGAUUGAGAUAUGUGAUUUGACACAGAUUGUGGAAGAGCUGGUGUUUUACAGUCUUGGCACAGGUGCUACCAAGGUAAAUGUUUCAUACUAUAAAUUUUUGAUGUAUAUGUUCCAGUUCGCAUAUGAUAUUGUAGUUGUCACAGAUUCAUAUUUUUUGUUGAUUUGAAUACAAAAUUGAAACAAGUCAAUGAUAGAACUGUUCAGUUUUCCAAUCAUAUUUUUUAUGGAUCUGAUCAAUAUAUCUUCCGAGUUAACACACUUGAACCAUGACAUUCAUCCACUCCUUACACCAUGACAUUUGACGUGCAUAUCCGUUCAACAACCACCAUAGGCUUAUAUUUAAAAUGCUUUUGUAGAUGAAUUUGUUGAAUUGUACUCUUCCCAUUAAAUGCUUAUGCAGAAAAAGAAAAAUGUUACUAUUUGCUGUAUCUCAUAACUAAGUAUCUUGAAAAAGUUAUUUUUGAGCAGAGAUAGCUAUAUUGAAGCUUCAUUUAUAUUCUCACGAAUUACAUGAUUAAGUGCAGAUGAUUUGACUGGGAUGCAACCACGAGCAAAGAUGAGCUUUCUUUGAGCCUGAAAUCAUCUGAGAAAGUUCUUGAGA